UAUUUGAUAUGCUUCAUGACUGGGAGAAUUUUUGACAGCAUUGUCUUUUUUCACUUUUCAGGUCCAACAAAAGCUGCUUCAAAGGAAAUGGAACGAAUUGACCAGAUGUUUUAUGCAUAUGCUGAUACCUCUUCUGGGAUGAUAGACCCAGAAGGUAUUGAGUCUUUUUGUGCCGAUAUGGAGGUUGAUCCUACAGAUGUCAGGAUAUUGAUCCUCGCAUGGAAAAUGAGAGCUCAAAAACAAGGUUAUUUUACUUUGGAAGAAUGGCGAACCGGGCUUAAAGCUCUACGAGCUGAUACUAUAAGCAAACUAAAGAAGGCACUCACAGAAGUAGUGAAAGAGGUAGUGAGGCCAUCUAAUUUCCUUGAUUUCUACUCAUAUUCAUUUCGUUAUUGCCUAACAGAGGACAAGCAGAAGUGUAUAGACAUUGAAAAUGCCUGCGAACUACUGAAUCUAGUUUUAGGCAUCCUAUUCCGCCCUCAAGUUGAAGAACUUAUUGAGUAUCUUCAGUACCAACAUGACUACAAGGUGAUAAACAUGGACCAGUGGAUGAAUUUUCUUCGAUUUUGUAAUGAGAUAAACUUCCCGUCGCUCGAUAAUUACAACCCAGAGCAAGCUUGGCCGUUGAUUUUGGACAAUUUUGUCGAAUGGAUGCAAGCGAAGGCAAGUUAAUUUCCUUCGUAAAAAUAUAUACCGUGCCGACCCAAUUUAAACAUGCUUGCGCGAAAAAGGCAUCAGAGAGAUUCACAAAGAUAUCUGCUAAAUAAUUUGCCAAAGUUGUUUCUUUUCGAAUAAUCUUAUUUUCCUUUCUUACUUUUUCUCUCUUUUUGUGGGUUUCUUACCGUGAUUGAGAGUGAUUUGAAUUGGCUAUCAUUCUUGCAGUUUGGAUGAAUAUCUUUUCCGUUGAUCAGACAGAUUGCUUCUGAUGUAAAAAACGAGGUAAAAAAAAAAAAAAAGAGAAGAAAAAUCUGAGGAGGAUAUUAGCAUACAAAUGUUUAGUUCAUAUGCUCAAUCUCACACUUAGUACAUGUAUUCCUCUGGUUGUUUUUGUGGGCCUAUUUCUCAUGCUCCACAAUGGUUGCUUUUGUUGAGUUUUCGCUAUAGCAAAAUAUUUGAUAAUUUCGAUGGUAAUGACCUAAUAGGUUCCAUUUAUGAGAAGAUGUAGCAUUUUCUGGGAAAA